CCAGUACAAACUGAACAGGUCAAAGCCUAUGGCUUGGAGCCGGGUCACAUAAGUGACAGUGGAUUGAUUACCCACGGGACAGUA
rfam:Clostridiales bacterium CHKCI001 isolate CHKC1 genome assembly, contig: {contig12}